UCAGCUCCCCAAACUGAAGUAACUGCUCCUAACGGAACCCAGCGAGCUGUGCCUGCCAGCUGCACGUCACCACCUCCUGGCUCCAAUGUCUUCAGGGUCACUAAUGCACAGCUUCUCUCUGGCUGUGCUCUCAGGUGUAUGAAGCAGGACAUCAAAUACCUGCCAGCUGUAAAAACCAUGAGGGACACAGUGGGGACAACACCUCUGCCUGCCUCUCCACUGCCUGAGGAAUCCACCAGCAGUCCCCAAGGCUGCACAAAGCACAUCCAGUGACCGUCCCAAACACCCCACAAGCAGCUCUGGGAGCACCUCAGGACACACACAGGCGGGGGGGGCGUGGGACACAGCCCCAGCACGGACAGCACCCCGGUGCUGACAGGAGCACGGGUGGGGCACGGACCCGUCAGCUGCACCAUCCAUCAGGGCCGGCUGUGCUCAAUGCUUUAUUGUUCUAAUAAUUGUGCAGACACGUGGAAGGGGCUGCCUCGACAUUUGCUGCUUGUUUGAGGAGCCAUUUCCUUCGCUGCUCCACCUGGUUUUCCAUCAGGAGGUGGCAUCCUGUGGUGGCAGCAGGCGGGGAUGUGCUGGCCAUUCCCAGCACCAUCCCCAGCUGGCUGGGCAGGACUGUGGGAGGAAACAGCAUCCCCCAGCACCAGGAAACACAGCAGGAUCUGCUGCUCCAGAUCUCAGCUGGCAGCCAAGCCCUGCACCUCAACAAGCCCAGGAAAACACGCACCAUAAACCUCAAGUGAGAGUUUUGGGUUUACGUGGAGAUUUUUUUAUGCCAUAGUAACCCUGCCCCCAUCCAGCAGUAGAUGGGCUCAGGGUGUCGGGAGCAUCAGGAUGUCUCAAAUGUGUCACACCUCCAGCACCUCUCAGCUGACCAUGGAAAAAACCAAAUACCAACAAGAGCAAGGGACAGAGCAGUUCCCAAAGGCUCAGAGCAGGAACACCACUUCUACCUGUGAAUGGCUGUGGGAGCUGCUCCAACCACAAACCUCUCCCAGCCUGUUCCUGCAGAAAACCAUGAAGCAUCUCUGCUUCCCCAGAGCAGGGAAUUACAGAAAAAACCUGAACAUCUCAGCUCCCAUAGCAAGAAUAAGCCCACAGUGAAUUUGUUAUUAUCUGUUAGCAAAGCAGCAGCUUCCCACCAAGGCUGGAAUUUCCAUCUUGGUUUGGCAGGCACAGGGCUGUGAAAUGAUUACUGUGUUUACUUUUCCUUUGCUAACUAUAAAAUCCCAUUCCACUGCCCUGCCAAGAAUGACUGAAGCUAAUAAAAUUCAGGCAUUUGGAAGAAAGCAAUAAUAAACCUCCCUUUUGGGGGCUUUAUGAUGAAAUUUCCCCACUCCAAUCAGCGAUUAUGCUGCAUUCAUGAACACUAGUGAUGUCUCCAAGUGCACCCAGAUUGACUCAAAUCAAUAUUUAGCUUUGCUCGAGACUGGGAGUCUUUCUCCUUGUGACAGCUGAAGGCAGAAUCACUGAACAAGGAAGAAACCUUUGAAAAAACAGCCUACAAGAAUAGGAGGCAGCAUAUAUAAAUAUAUAGCUAUGUAUGUAUAUAUAUAAAUAUAUAAAAAAUGUAGGCUUUUCAUUUACCUAAAAACCUAUAGAAAGCAUACACACAUGAAUUCACAGAUUUACAAAUCUCUCUCCAAAUAUAUUGAAAGCCUUUCAUAUAAUGCACUGUAUGUAUUUAUAUACACAUACCUGCCUAUUCUUUAGGAGUUUUUAGUGUUUGAAAGCCUUCAACGUUCCUGUGUUUACAUCUGCCACUCUGUCUGCUGCCGAGGCAGAAACACAUUAGCUGCUGGGGGCAAUCUGUUCUACAUCAUACCUGAGAUGGCUGGCAUGAGACAAAAUAACACAGACCUGAAAAUCAGCUUGAAAUAAAAGCCUGUGCUUGGUUUGGUCACGUAACCACGUGGGACAGCUUGAUCUGCACGAGGCAAUGGUUCCUUUUUAAGCUGUCAUGGGAACAACAGCGUCCAAAGUGGAGAUCAGCAGGCAGAAAGGAUCACUGCUGCUCCUCAGGGAACAGCACAGGAGGAGAGAAAUCAGACCCUGUUAGGGCAGUGACCAGAGCAGGCUGCUCAAAGUCAAGCCUAGGAAGCAUUACUGUGCAGGCAGAGGAGGGGGUACAGUGCCGUGGCAGCAGAGAAAUCCGCUGUGGGCAUGUGCUGGAGCAGGAUGCCAUGGGCUCUGCAGCCUGGGAGAAUCCCUCAGGAUGCAGCAGAGGACUGGGAAACACCAUAACCACUGCCCAUCUCCUCCUUGGCACUGCCAGAGGACCGUCCUCUUCCUCUCAGGAAAGGGUACCAGGUGCAGGAUUAAGGCCAGAUGAAGGCAAGCAGAACCUGGGCAGAACACUGGCACCUGCAGAAAAUGCUCUGUCAGAGCACUGAGAUGACCAAAGAGUAACUAGACAGAGGUCAGGACUGAAAGGAGGUGGUUCAGGUAAUUUCAUUCCACACUGCUUCUUCCCCACUAGUUCCUACUUUUGCUCCACCAAACCUGGGGUAGGACAGAGCACAUGAGCCAGCUCUGCCGCUGGGUAAAAGCCCAUUUCCAAGGACACAGGGAACAGGCUCCACUGUGCUCUCGCUCCUUAUCCUCCUGGAAAAAGGUGCCAAGAAUUAGAAUUACAUUUUUCGAGAGCAGCAGAACGAGCCAAGGGCCUGUCAGCUUGUCCUAAAACAACCCCUCUCUGCUCGCCGAGCACGCAGCCAGCAUUCCUGACACACACCAGCGUCCAUCGCCCCCCGGCCCCCCCAUGCAGCACGGGGCUGCGCAGCCAAAAAAACCUCAAUGUGCUCUGCCUAAAACACAGCCAAGGAGUUUUUCUGUUUAAAAAGCAAGUUUAGGUCCAAAAAGAAAGGAGGUUUUCAGCGAGUGAUUUUAACUAGGCCCUUUGGCACUCGACAGUUCCUCUCUUGUUAUGGAUGCUAAGGGUGUUGUUAGGAGAUGAAGCUCCACGAAGCACGAACGUGAAGUCACAGAGCUUUAGCAAGGGCUGUUGCCAUGUUCAAUAUGUUAUUACAGCUCCAUCACCACAGGCACAAAGAGCAGCACCUCAUCUCUGCCAAAUCCAUCUCUGAAAUCACUCCCCCACUCCAUCCCCUCCAGCAGCAGCAGGCAAACACCAUUGAUUGCUGUUGCAUCUCCUCCACAGCUUCCACCCCACGCUGGGAAGGAAGGACUGCUGACGGGCUGCACUUCCCAGCCACGGAGAAGUACAGUGCCAAAAAUGUGCCUGGUGCUGUACAUCCACGGAGAAGUCACCCAAGUUUCUCCCAGGAAGACCCUUGGGUAGGAGGGGCAUGCAGGGAUGCUGAACAAGGAGGGAGGAGCAGUUCAUCUGUGAGAUGUAUGUGCUUGCAAAUUGGUAACAACCUCCUGCUGCUUGGUCACCUGCACUAACUGGAGAGAUCCCACACAACCCAUCCCGGAGAGUGCCUGGAUCUGAUGGGAGCUGGAGGAAUGCUCCUUGCCCAGAAGCACCCACACCCCUUCCCAGAACAUGAGGGAAAAGAAGAAAACAGAUCAGGAAGAGACUGCAAGGGGGGGAGGAAAAGCAGCUGGGAUGUCCUUCUUGUCACCAGGGCCAAACUCUUCUCUUGACUUUCAUUCCAGGAGAGGGGUUCUUUUUAACACAAAUGAACACAACCAGUUGAGCACGGGCAAAAAAUGGUGGCAAAAGUGGAGCCAUCCUCACCCUACACCAUCCUCGUCCUCUGGAGAUCAGCAUCAGUUCCUGCCAUACCAAUACUAUUUCCUAAGUCCCACCUGAGGACUGACAAAGUAGCAAACUAGCUCCCCUCUCUCCUGCAUUUCCAGGACAAAACAGGGCACAUUAGAAUUCUUGCUAUCAGAUAAAAUAGAUACAUACAGCAUGUGCAAACACUUCCUAGAUGGAGAAGAAAAGUCUCCAUGAAUGCACACACAGCACACCCAGCUCAGCACAUUGCCUACUGCAAGCACAGAGCCAGAAAUAUUUCUUCCAAUUACAGGGGUGAGUGAGGCACACAAAAUCAGGGGACUUUCCCUCCAGCAGAUCAGGUGAGAUGUUGCACUGCGCGAGCCUUGUAAUAUUGACUGAGUGGAACAGAAAAGUCCAAUUAUGUAAAUGAUGAAGCAGGUUCCCGAGAAGCAGUCAGCCUUAUCACACCAUCCUUCGCCACCGCUGUGGCUUGAAAGGCAAUUUAAAAGUCUUUUUGGGAUGUCGAUCACCACAAACGAGCUGAAGAAGUGUGAAACAACCUCUGCUUGAGGCACCAUCAGUUCUCCUGUUGGUUUUUCAGCUGCACUGAGCCUUUGCCCUGCUGUCUGUGGCUCGAGAACCACUGCAGGCUGGAGCAGACAGGCCAGGGGAGAGCCAGGCUGCAGGUAGCUCAGGGAAGGGUCAAAGGUUUUUACAUCCUGCCUCUGGAAUGCUUCUGCAGCCCAUGAGGGCUUUUCCUGCCAUACCUGAGUCUCUCAGAUCAUAAUUCAGUUCUUUGGUCACAGGAGCUUCAGCUGAGAAAUGGAAUAAAACCAGCUGUCUUGCAA